rnacentral:rRNA from 1 species
GUGCCAGCAGCCGCGGUAAGACAGAGGGUGCAAACGUUGCUCGGAAUUACUGGGCGUAAAGCGCGUGUAGGUGGUCACCCCAGUCGGAUGUGAAAGCCCAGGGCUCAACCCUGGACGUGCAUACGAUACUAGGUGGCUGGAGUCUCGGAGAGGAUAGCGGAAUUCCCGGUGUAGAGGUGAAAUUCGUAGAUAUCGGGAGGAACACCAGUGGCGAAGGCGGCUAUCUGGACGAGUACUGACACUGAGACGCGAAAGCAUGGGGAGCAAACAGGAUUAGAUACCCCCGUAGUCC